rnacentral:misc_RNA from 1 species
GGCUUGGAUGUACAAUUUGUUAAUAACUACUGCAAUUUUUUCUUAUGUUCUUCAUCAUCAUCAAAGUGGGGAACUUCACACACUAAGAGCACUCUUUUAUCAUCAUCAGGACUUCAGCUUUUAUGAAUAUGUUGUCUGAAAAAUAUUGACAGGAUUUCAAAAUUACAGUAUGUUGCUAUGUUGUGGUGGAUAUUUAUAUGUUAAGAAUAGGGAUGUAUAUUGAACACAAAAUAUUUGGUGAAAUUAUUUACAUGUUAAAAUUUAGCAUGGGAUGAAAUAAGAAGGCAUUGGGGCAUGGCAGGGUCAAAUUUUCGAUGUUUGAGUUAUCUAUCAAAUUACUUUGA